rnacentral:rRNA from 1 species
GACGAACGCUGGCGGCGUGGAUUAGGCAUGCAAGUCGAACGGUAUCAUCCUUUCGGGGGUGAGAGAGUGGCGAACUGGUGAGUAACACGUAGGUUAUCUACCCUCAAGACGGGGACAACCCAGGGAAACUUGGGCUAAUACCGGAUGUGAGCAACUUUUAGUUGUUUGAAAGGUGGCGUAAGCUGUCGCUUGGGGAUGAGCCUGCGUCCUAUUAGUUAGUUGGUGAGGUAACGGCUCACCUAGGCAAUGAUAGGUAGGCGGCCUUAACGGGUGGUCGCCCACACUGGGAUUGAGAUACGGCCCAGACUCCUACGGGAGGCAGCAGUCGAGAAUAGUCUACAAUGGUCGGAAGACUGAUAGUGCGACGCCGCGUGAACGAUGAAUCCCUUCGGGGUGUAAAGCUUCUUUUAUAUGUGAGCAGUGCUUCUUAUAUUAACAGUAUGGGGAGAGAGAUAUUAGCAUAUGAAAUAGCAACGGCUAACUCCGUGCCAGCAGCCG